rnacentral:rRNA from 1 species
CGCGCAGGCGGGUUGGCAAGUCAGAGGUGAAAUCCUACAGCUUAACUGUAGAACUGCCCUUGAUACUGCCGAUCUUGAGUAUGGAAGAGAGAGACGGAAUUCCAGGUGUAGUGGUGAAAUACGUAGAUAUCUGGAAGAACACCAGUUGCGAAGGCGGUCUCUUGGUCCAAUACUGACGCUGAGGCGCGAAAGCGUGGGGAGCAAACAGGAUUAGAUACCCUGGUAGUCC